rnacentral:rRNA from 1 species
AACGAACGCUGGCGGCAUGCCUAACACAUGCAAGUCGAACGAGACCUUCGGGUCUAGUUGCGCACGGGUGCGUAACGCGUGGGAACCUGCCCUUAGGUUCGGAAUAACUCCCCGAAAGGGGUGCUAAUACCGGAUAAUGUCUUCGGACCAAAGAUUUAUCGCCUUUGGAUGGGCCCGCGUUGGAUUAGCUAGUUGGUAGGGUAAAAGCCUACCAAGGCGACGAUCCAUAGCUGGUCUGAGAGGAUGAUCAGCCACACUGGGACUGAGACACGGCCCAGACUCCUACGGGAGGCAGCAGUGGGGAAUAUUGGACACUGGGCGAAAGCCUGAGCCAGCAAUGCCGCGUGAGUGAUGAAGGCCUUAGGGUUGUAAAGCUCUUUUACCCGGGAUGAUAAUGACAGUACCGGGAGAAUAAGCUCCGGCUAACUCCGU